AUCUCUUCUCGGCCUUUUGGCUAAGAUCAAGUGUAGUAUCUGUCUCAGCCUCCUGAGUGCUGGUAUUAUAGAUGUGCACCACUGUGCCCAGCAAGACCGUUUUCUUAAAUGGGAGUCUAGGGUCAAGCACUGAAUGGCCUCCCCAGUAUGAGGCCACAUUACUCUUUUUCUCUUUGCUCGUACUUCUUCCU
ensembl:snRNA U2 U2 spliceosomal RNA